rnacentral:lncRNA from 1 species
CUUGCAGCCAUUAUUCUACUUUCGAUCUCUGAAUUUUGAACUAUGUGUUGGCAGCUGUUGCCCUGGAGUUCUGAGGGAGAUUCAGUGUCUUCAGCUACAGUGAUGCCUGCAGAGACAUCACAGCGUCACAGACCACUACAGGCCUUUACCAUGACCAUUGGCAUGGAGAGUUCUGCUUCUGCAUGCCAGCCACUGGCUCAUCAGGCAAGUCACUCAGAUCUGGGAUAGACUCAUAAGUUAAUAUAGAAA